rnacentral:rRNA from 1 species
AUGGCCCGCGCCCUUCUUGGCUCAUCAGUACGCACAGGAAUGGCUUGCCUCGCGAGACGCCUUCUGACCUGCAUCUCCCUCCUCCUCGGGACCCUCUCCGCGCCCGGGUCCACGGCCGUGGCCGUGGCCGGCAUCGGCCAGCUCCGCUCCCGCGGCACGGCGAUCGGCGUGUCCCGGCCGCAGCCGGACGUCAACUUCACCAUCGGCAUCGUCGGCGCCGUCUGGUGCAAGAACUGCCGCUACGCCGGCUACCUCCCGUCCAAGAACGUCGCGCCCCUCCCGAACGCGGCGGCGCUGCUGCGGUGCCGGCGAGGGAGGCAGGCCAUGUCGGCGUGGGGCACGACAGACGCGCGGGGCUACUUCAUGAUCCAGACGGCGGAGCAGGCGGUGCCGUUCGCGAGCAAGGACUGCGUGGUGUACGUGCCGCGCUCGCCGCGCCGGGGCGCGUGCGGCGUGGCCGUCCUGCCCCGCCGGAACCAGGGCUCGCCGCUCAGGUUCCGGGAGUACGUGACGCGCCCCGACGGCCUGCAGGCGCUCUACACCGCCGGCAACUUCGUGUUCGGCCCGCGAGAUCCCGCCAGGUGUGGUCUCCAAUAA